rnacentral:lncRNA from 1 species
AUUUAUUUACCUUUAACUAUUUUUUUUAAGUACAUAGUAAAGCUCAUAACUACAUUCAUUUCAAAGGAACUAGAUUUACUUCAAGAUCUAAGAUAUACAUAAUCAUUGGACUCAAUUUAUGACGAUCGGAUGCAUCUUUGUUUAUGAUUUUUGAUUAUGUUGUAUUUUUAUUUAUGGUCAUGAUUUUUUUUCACAAUUAUAAUUUUACCAUUGUUACAUAUAUUGUAUUAUUGUUUUCUUGUUUGUCAAACAUGUAGGUAAAGAACCCAAAUAAGAUACAAAUGAACAUUAAAAUCGUUCUCACAUGAGUUAACUCCAUGUCCUCAAUUGCUGAUGUUUUGAUAUCUAUUUGUAAUGUAUUAAUUUGAUUUUUUGAGUUUUACAAUGUGUUAUACUUCUGCAUUUUAAACAGUACUAAGCUUGUCCUUACUUUUAUACAAGACAUCAUCUGUCUUACAUUUUAUAACACAGCUGUAUAUUCCCAAUGAUAACUUAUAAGAUUAAAUUUUAAAUCGUAUAUUUUUAAUACAAGACUUAAAUUGUUCUACAGCUGUGCUUUUUCACAGGCACGAUCCAUUUUACCUCCUUAAGUCUUUGUGAUAGUUUCAGCAUUUUGAAUUUUUCUGUUAUCUAUCUAAUUUGUAAUCUAUUUGUCUUUUUAUCCUACAUUUUAUAUAUUUUUCAUCCGUCCAGAUUUUUAUCUUUCGUACAGUGUGAUAUAUUGCAAUCAGUUUACGUCCUCACAAUUGUAGUGAUAUUUUUUUUUACAAUUUGAUAUUCUAUUAUUUCAUAUGUUUUUUUACAUAAUUAUGCAUGUUAAACAAACUGUGUUUUAUAAAUGUAAAUAAAUAUGCAUAUAUGUACCUUGAUUGCCGUAACAUUGCGUUCCAAAAAAAAAAUGCGUUUUAAAAAGCAAUUACCAUGUGUAUUAAAUGUAUAAAUUUUUCACAUUUUAUACAUUUUAUAUAUUUGACAUUGUUUGUCCCUUUUGCUCUGUGAUUAACUCCGGUUUUAGUAUGACAGAUUUUCAAUAUGCAUUGUGUCUUUUUAGUCCCGGUGAUAUUCUCUCCUUUUUUAUUUUAUUUUUUUUUUUUAUUUUAUAAUUUUAGAUUAUCAUUUAACAUGUUUAAACAAAUGUGUGUUUUGUUUAUCUUUUAAGGUGGUACCUAACACUACAUGGAGAUAACUCUGUAAAAUCAGAUAAAUGUUUUAAUUACGUUGUGUUGUUUAGAGAAUAUUAAGCUUCUCGAUGAUCAAAAUAAGUGUUUGUCGAACUGCUAUAUAACCAGUGUAUUUUUUCUGAUAAAACGGUUGGUUUAAAUUUUUUAAAAUUUUUAUAUUUUUGUCAAAGGGUCAAAGUAAAUACUUCGUCAAAAUUUUAUGAAAAUUAAACGAGCCAAAUUAAUUUUAGUUAAGGUGUUGGGUACCACCUUAAAUAGUGUUUUAUUUGUUUUUAUGUGUAUGUUUUAUUCGCCUUUUCACAUUAUAUUCUAUAUUUAUUGUAUCCGUCCAGCAUCUUUUUUCUUUAAAAUGGUAUAAUUUAGGGAACAGUUUGUUACACGAAGGCUUUCCCAAUAUCUAGAUUUAGAGGAAAUAAAAGCACAAAAAUGUUCGUACUUUUGUUCGUUGCUGUUGAAUUAUAUUAACUAAUUUAUAUAAGUAUGUCAAUUUUAUGUAACAGGUGAUUGAUAAAUAUAAAGUAUUUUAAUCGAAGAGGUACGAGUAAAAGGGUGCUUAAUCUGAGACUGUUAUAGUAGUAUCAUGCAAGACUGUGUUUAAAUUGUCGUUCAAUUAAAUCAUAUGAAACUUCAAAUUAUGAAAGCAUUGAUGCAUAUAUUUUUAUAACUAAAUGCAGCUAGUUUUUUUAUUAUUGUAAAACCUAUAUUCAUAUAUUUUUUUCUCAAGAAAGUUCUUUAAUUUGUCCAAAUUUAGAUGAAAUUACCUGUUUUUGAAUUAUUGGUUUCCCAGAAAAUAACUUGCCGACAUUAUGUUCUCCGUUGCAGUGAUCUCAUUGUGACCUUUCUCGUAAUACCCAGGUGAUCGCAUUACGCUUUGGUCCAUCAUAGAAAUAAACUAUAUCUUAGUGUUCAUAUUAUACACGUGCUAACCUCAAUGUCCAUGUUUAUUUGUUGAAUGUUUUACUAAGAUGACAAUAGGUAAACUUUGGCUUCAUUACACGACAAUUAAUUAGCUGCAUAUUUUCACAUCAAAACAGACCGAGUGAAAUAUUCUUAUGACGAUUAUACGAUAUGGAUGCGUAAACAAUGAUAAAAUCGUACACAGAUUGAGAAGAUUAUGUUUAUAAUUAUAUAUACAGGCAUUGGUUCAAAAAUUGGAUGAACAUUAUUUUUCACCAGUCACUCGUUUCAUAUAAUUAAACAAAAAUGGGAAUAACAAAUGCUAUGAUCGUGCCCGUAUUCUUUAAAAAAUACGGAUACUCGAUACUAUACAUUCCCGGGAUUAAUGAAAUAAAAAAACAAUUCUGGCUUACUUUUAUAAAUUGUUACUUGGAUGGAGAGUUGUCUCAUUGGCACUCAUACCACAUCUUCUUAUAUCUAUGAAAUCAUAUUUGAGGAAAACGAAGUAAAAGAGGAAUCGAUAGUUUGUGAAGUCAAAGGGUAUAUAUAUCAUUUAGUUAAGUGCUUAAUGUACUUUUAAAUUCUAUUCUCCGCCAAAUCUGAUAUUGGAAAAGUUCCUUACAAGUGCUUUAGAUUAGUUUAGUUUUGCUCUUUUUCAUUAUGUUAACAUCUAUAUUGCAUUAGGUAUUUUAAGAUAGUUGUAUUUUAGCUCAUUAUUAAGUGUUACAAUUUCUUUAUUCAUUAAAGGAGCUAAUGGACAAUAUUGCGUUGCUUUUAAUUUAUUUAAAACAAAAGUAGGUAGUUAAUGUUAAAAUCAAUUAGUGCAUACACGCCACAUGCAUGUGUAAAAAAUACGUGUGUAGUCUACUUGUUCAAAAAUAAAAAUCAACGAUGAUGUUUCAACAGAUUAUCGGCAAUGGUAGGAGACCAUCCUCCGAACUUGGCGAUUUGGGUAUCCCGACGUUAUAAAAAAUCAGACCCGAGUAUAACGGAUUUAUCGUUAUUUUUUCAUAUUAUUCCCAAUUUUGUCUUCCAUUCUAAUUCAAAUGAAUUAUAUCAUACUAGAGAUCUACUUCAUUUCUGAUUAUGUAUUCCAUGCAAUCUCUAUCAUAAGUAAAACAUUACAUCCAACGUGACGUAUGUCGAUUCUUUGAAAGUUACGGACAUUCCUAUUGGUAUGAUGAAAAAAGUUACGGACAAGUUGUUUUAAAGUUACGGACAGCCUAAGCGUUUUUUCAAAUCGUGCUGUAAUCGUUUAUUUUGUAGACUUUAAUCACUUGUUAAGUUUAGGGGUUCCCUAAACAAUUGAUACAACUUUUUAAUUCAGUGGUUUAAUUAAUGCAUCCAUGGUAUUAUUAUUCUAUAGAAGAGAAUUCCCUAACCGACGCAAGGCGGCUCCAUCUUGGGCUGUGGGUAACUUAAGUUACCCACAGCCUUUUAAGCACAGUGAAUGUGAUAUAUUUCGUUUCAUUAUACUUUCAUAGCAGUCACAUAAAUACAAAUUGAUAGAUUUUCUUUUUGCUAAGAGGACAUACGUCAUCACCAAUAAAGAAAAAUAGUUGUCAUAAAAAUUCAAUAUCUAUCUAUGAACCAUGAACUCGAUAUCAAGGAAAAAUGAACCCUGCCAAACAGACAUAUCAAAACUGACUAGCUCUCAUCAAUAUUGUUGAACUGAAUAGCGGCAACACUUGAUUUUUCUAUUUAAUCUUAAUUUUUAACUGAAGAAAAAUUCGUAAAAUAAAUACACAUAGUACAUUAACUUCAUUCCCGGUUUCAUUUUCUCAAUAUGAUUUGAAGCUCAAUAGUUGAAAUGAUUACGUGACGAUUAAUGUUCAAAUAAUGUGGUAUGCACUGAAACCCUAUUUUUUCUUUAUAAAUGGACAUAUGUCACCAUUGAAUGUAAUGAAUCCUCCUUUUGCUUCAUUACACGACAAUUAAUUAGCUGCCAUAGUGCAUAUUUUCACAUCAAAACAGACCGAGUGAAAUAUUCUUAUGACGAUUAUACGAUAUGGAUGCGUAAACAAUGAUAAAAUCGUACACAGAUUGAGAAGAUUAUGCUUAUUAUUAUAUAUACAGGCAUUGGUUCAAAAAUUGGAUGAACAUUAUUUUUCACCAGUCACUCGUUUCAUAUAAUUAAAAAAAAAUGGGAAUAACAAAUGCUAUGAUCGUGCCCGUAUUCUUUAAAGAUCUUUUUCAUUAUGUUAACAUCCAUAUUGCAUUAGGUAUUUUAAGAUAGUUGUAUUUUAG